UACAGGUCUCCAACUCAGGCAAAUACAGUCUCUGCAAAGUGGAACUCAAAAUAUUAACGAGUCACUGCAAGAAAGAAUACAGUGUAAAGGAAAUUUGGAUGGGACUGCAAGUAAAAUCAAUGAAGUCUAUCCAAAUGUAGAUCCUGGAGGAAUACAAUCUGUGUCUCUUACAUCAAGAAAGACUUAGUACUCUCCAAGAAUACCAUUUUGUACCAAGUUCAAACUGGAGGAUCACAAGUCUUUACAUGUGACUUAGGAAACAGGAAGAAGCAACCAAACCAAUCUAAGUGAGGCUUCAUUAAGGAACCCCAAUUUCAUUAUGUUAUGAGCCCUGAUUUAGUCACUGAAACCCUUACCUACAAGGCAUCGGCGAGUUUGGGACUUAAGCAUUUGCUGCCUGAUCCUCCUUGCUUGGGCACUGCAUACCAACACCUUCCUUUCUACAGCUGCAAACCU
rnacentral:lncRNA from 10 species